CGUUAAUAAACCCGUUGCCAUUGACAGCGGUGAUUAUAUACUUUGCCGGUGAUUUAUGUAGAUUUAACAUUGGGCCUUCCCAAUGUUCGGGCCUUUCAUGUGAAUGGAACUUUCUGCAGCACUCUAAAGAGCCGUGCAAUAAAUAUUGAUAAUAGUUGACCACAUCUAACUCACUGUAUUCUUCUGUAUACUCCUUCAUGAUGUCAUUGAAUUAAAGUGGUUUCAACCAAGAUCUUGUUGGAACUCUGACAAGUAAAUCUUUUUUUUUUUUUUUUUUUUUAUGUUUCUAACACCCAUUUGGUGCUCAAGCCUGAUGAGACUAAUGUGGCUCCGUUCAUAGUUAUGGCAAGGAUUCUAGAGCACUCUGCGUGGUGAUCUUGAAGUGUGACCCUUCUAAAAAAUGUACUGUAACGUACGGUACUCGGCCCACUACCCAGGUAAAGGGGACAGGAACGCCCCAUAAUUCAGCUCUUUCAGUUGUAUCUCCACUGCUUACAGAAACCACCCAAGCAGCCUUUUGCAAUCAUGUAGCCCUAUUUAGAGUAACCAAUUGUAUUUUAGGAAUAAAUAAAUCCAUACAAUUUACUAGAAAGGGGAAAAAGAAUUUAUUCACUCUUGUUCAAAGCACAUCGAUAAUAUUUACAAAGCAAAGUGAGGAAACUAGUGAUGUUUUGUAAGUGAUGAAACUCCCAUUUCUGAACAAUCAGCUCAGUUAGCUUAGCAAGUCCAUGUUUUCUCACUGCCUUUAA